AUUUAAACAACACGCCGAAAUUCAAAAAUAUCAAAUGCCAUGUUGAUGUUGCACAGAAGGAAAGUUGGAAAGAGAGUGUCUAGAACAGGGGAAUCAUGAUUAGCUUGGGAUGGAAGAAGAUGAAGACAUUUUAAGACCCGUUGCUGCAUUGUGCCUGAGAUCCCCAAAGCGCUGGCAUUUGAUAACUUGGUGGAUGUAGAUGCUUAGCCAAUCAGUCACUAGGCUUGUGAACAUGGAAUCCGGAUGCUCACAAGGAGAAGAGCUGUAUGAAAAAAACCAAAAAGAAAUUGUGCAAGGAAAGUUUGAAGUGUCUGUGGGUAUUAUCAACAUCCAACUUUCUGAGCCUUCAUACUGAAAGUGAAUCUGUUCCUGACACCAGUUAUCUGUCAACCCUCUAACAUGACCAUUUACUAAUUUCGUGGGAUAUCAGUGAGGAAGUGAUUCUCUUGCAAACACGUCAGAAGUUUUGGAUCUUCAUUAAUCGGGAUCUUUGGAACGUACAUUGGGGGAAAAUAGCAUCUGUUGAUUUUAUGGGAUCUUUGUAUCAAUAUAGUCGUGUAGACUAGUACAUAUUUUUUGCAUUAAAUACAUGUGUUUGUCACUCUAGUCAUUAUUCAUUAACUUUGUACCAGUACAUAAGCCACUGGCAGUUCAUUGUAAAUGUAUACCCUGUUGAGGUUUCAAUGGCCUCUUCAAUUCCAUGACCAAUGUCAUUUAAUAAAACUAACUUCUUAUUUUAGAAAAUGUAGACUGGAGUUUAUUAAAUACAUGUAUAUCAUAACAUGAUUAUCAUUAAUUUAACCAAGGUGAUUCUCCAGUAAUCAUAUUUUUCUCUGGAUAUUUUUGUAAAUAACCUUAAGCUUUGAUGUAAAAAUACUUUCAGUGAGAAUACAUUUAAAAAAUGUGCUUAGAUUAUACAUCUGAGAGUAUAUGCAAUAUUUGUCUCAAAAAACACUGUAAA